ensembl:lncRNA
CGCUGUAGACUGGUGUCUCCCUGGUAGAGAGGCUGGGGUACUGGAUGAGGAGAUAGGACAGGGGUAGGGUGUGGGAAUAGGGUGUGGGUAGGGUGUGGGAAUAGCGUAUAGGGGUUAGGGAAUAGGGAAUAACGUAUAGGGGUUAGGGUAUAGGGUUUAGGGUAUUGGGGUUAUGAAAUAGGGUUUAGGGUAUAGGGUUUAGGGAAUAGGGUUUAGGGUGGUUAGGGAAUAGGGUAUAGAGUAUAGGGGUUAUGGAAUAGGGUUUAGGGUAUAGGGUUUAGGGAAUAGGGUUUAGGGUAUCGUGGUUAGGGAAUAGGGUAUAGAGUAUAGGGGUUAGGGAAUAGGGUUUAGGGUAUAGGGGUUAUGGAAUAGGGUUUAGGGUAUAGGGUUUAGGGAAUAGGGUUUAGGGUAUCGUGGUUAGGGAAUAGGGUAUAGAGUAUAGGGGUUAGGGAAUAGGGUUUAGGGUAUAGGGGUUAUGGAAUAGGGGUAUAGGGUAUAGGGGUUUAGGGUAAAUGGGUUUAGGGUAUAGGGUUUAGGGUAUAGGGGUUUAGGGUAAAUGGGUUUAGGGUAUAGGGGUUUAGGGUAUAGGGUUUAGGGUAUAGGGUUUAGGGUAUAGGGGUUUAUGGUAUAGGGGUUUAGGGUAUAGGGGUUUAGGGUAAAUGGGUUUAGGAUAUAGGGGUUUAGGGUGUAGAGGUUUAAGGUAUUGGGGUUUAGGGUGUAGGAGUUUAGGAUUUAGGGGUUCGGGAUGUUGGGGUUUAGAAUGUAGGGGUUUAGGGUGUAAGGAUGUAAGGGGUUUAGGGUAUAAGGGUACAGGAUGUAUGGGUUUAGGGUACAGGGGUUUCGGGUGUAGGGUUUUAGGGUGUAGGGGUUUAGGGUGUAGGGACUUAGGGUAUAGGGGUUUACAGGUUUAGGGUAUAGGGGUUUAGGGUACAGGGUAUAGGGGCAUAGGGGUUUAGGAUAUAGGGGUUCAGGAUGUAGGGAUGAGGGUUUAGGGGUUUAGGGUAUAGGAGUUCAGGAUGUAGGGGUUUGGAUGUAGGGGUCAUACGGGUUGAGG